GGGUGUGAGGACAUCUUUCAUGCCCUUGAUCACCAGGGUUGGUUUAACUGAUAUGGCUAGCUAGGUGGGUGUCCCUUUCCUCCUCCACUGCUCUGUGUCCAUCCCUCCCAAAGCUGCAGGUUCACAAAGAGGACAACCUUCCCCAAUAGAGGAGGCCCAUUCUUUGGUGAAGGGUAUACAGGAAGCUGCACUCCAUGCCAGAACUUCCAGAUAAGCUCUCAAGGUCCAUUUGUAGGAGAACAUAGGGUAGUCAGGUUUCCAAGACCCCAGACACAUACAGAUGAGGCACUGCAUAUGGAAGUUUGCCUUUCUUU
ensembl:misc_RNA 7SK 7SK RNA